UCGGGUUGUAAAGCACUUUUGUCCGGAAAGAAAACCGCUGCCCUAAUACGGCGGGGGGAUGACGGUACCGGAAGAAUAAGCACCGGCUAACUACGUGCCAGCAGCGCGGUAAUCGUAGGGUGCGAGCGUUAAUCGGAAUUACUGGGCGUAAAGCGUGCGCAGGCGGUUCGUUAAGACAGAUGUGAAAUCCCCGGGCUUAACCCGGGAACUGCAUUUGUGACUGGCGGGCUAGAGUAUGGCAGAGGGGGGUAGAAUUCCACGUGUAGCAGUGAAAUGCGUAGAGAUGUGGAGGAAUACCGAUGGCGAAGGCAGCCCCCUGGGCCAAUACUGACGCUCAGGCACGAAAGCGUGGGGAGCAAACAGGAUUAGAUACCCUGGUAGUCCACGCCCUAAACGAUGUCAACUAGUUGUUGGGGAUUCAUUUCCUUAGUAACGUAGCUAACGCGUGAAGUUGACCGCCUGGGGAGUACGGUCGCAAGAUUAAAACUCAAAGGAAUUGACGGGGACCCGCACAAGCGGUGGAUGAUGUGGAUUAAUUCGAUGCAACGCGAAAAACCUUACCUACCCUUGACAUGGACGGAACCUGGCGG
rnacentral:rRNA from 1 species